ensembl:lncRNA
UUUAUAAAAGCAAGACUAUAUGCAUGUUGCCUUUCAGGUCUAAUAUUACAGUUUUACUGUGAGACUGUGCCAUGAAAAGCAGAAGAUAAGCAUUCUGGCCCUUGACACAUUGCUGCAUUUCAAUGUCUUACCUGUCCUGCCUGGCUGCUAAGAUAGGUCUUACCCCAGCAGAGUAUAAGUGUUGGAUUUAAUCAUCAGUUUUCCUUGUGGUUAUCUUCAACACUAAAUAAAGUCUAAUGUCACCUGAGUCGUGUUUUGACACACUGGUUUCAGUUGAGAGACAUCAAAGUGCUUGAUUAAAUAGAAGCUCUCCUGUUGCUUCCCAAGAUGGAUAUGGAGUAUGUGAUAAAUGGCCAAUAGCUUGCCUGACAUUGUCCAAAGGCUGUAAACACUAACUGAAUCCCCAUUCUCACCUGCUGCCAGUUACUGCUUCCUGCUCUCUCCUUGUCUUACUGUAAGUAUGUAGCAACAUGAAGCAGAGUUAUGUAGGGAAUACUGGUGUUAAAAACCUCUGUCUGACUUGAUGGCAGUCAGUGGAGGCAUUUGAGGUCAGGUUGGAUGGGGGUCUGAGCAACCUGACUUAGCUGCAGGUGUCCCUGUUCAUUGCAGGGACUAGAUAACCUGUAAGGGUCCCUUCCAACUCAAACAAUUCUAUGAUUCUAUGAAUAAGGUGUCUAAAUGAAAUCCAAAAGACCUCAGUUCCAAAAGAAAGGUGUUGUGGAAUACCAUGUGCAGAGCUGGUAAAAGGUCUCCUUUACAGAUUAUCAACUGGAAGAUUUGUUGUAACAGAUGAGAUCACUGAUUUUAGAUAUCACAAUUGCAGUUUUAAAGGUGUUUCUGCUGUCUUCAGGAGUUGCACAUAAUAAAACAGGUAAGUUUAUUGUACUGAGUUUUCAGUUAAUUUUUUGAUUAAGCAGGACAAGUGGUGGUACAGAGUCAGUUCUGAGACACAGUAGUUAAAUUUAGCCUUCUUCUUCCAGGAUGUCGUUUUGCAAACCAUUUUGGAACACCUUAAAUUUGAGGUGAGUUACAACUUCCUUUAUAAUAAAAUGGUGACUAAAAUUAUUUUUAUAUAAACAAGGAAGGGCACGUGGGUGGUAUGAUGGCAGAGGCCAUCCUGGCCAUUUUCAUGAUGGCUAUGUUCAGGAUGGCCAGAAGGCAGACUUUGGCUUCUUUAGAGACCUGGUUGAUAGAGUCCGUUGGGAGGAAGUUCUGAAAGGCAAAGAAUUUGGGAAGGUUGGAUAUUCUUCAAGAAUGAAUCUUAAAAGUGAAGAACCAGGACAUUCCAAAGUGCCCAAAGUUGAGCCAGCAGGGAAUUAGAGGAAGCUGGCUGAACGGAGAGCUUCUUUGAGAGCUAAGAAGGAGCAGGCAAAAAUUCAUGAUGCACAAGUGUUUGGGUUUUUCAUUGUUAUUAUAAAGUGCUUUCUUUUAAAUCUAUUUUAGCAUAUUACAGAGUCCUUUCACAAGAUCGGUAUUUGUGAAAAGAAAGCUUAUCUUCUGAAGACUUUGAUGCUAUAAUACCUUAUGUAACAAAUACCACAGUGUCAAAAUCUCCUUGUGCCUAUGAUGUGCUACUUAUUGCUCUCACCUGUAGCGCUCCAGUUCAUGAUGGCAGCAAAGGGGCAAUUUGACAAAAAGAUGUCUGAAGCGAAGGUGUGUCACUGAAUUCCUCCACGUAGAAGCAACUGCACCCAUUGAUGUUUAUUGAUGCUUGCUGAACAUUUAUGGAGACUUAACCGUGGAUGUGAGCACAGUGAGGAGGUGGAUGGUGCAUUUCAUCAGUGGUGACAGUGGGUCACCUCCACUGCUACAGGUUGUUAUGAGUGCG